AUUUAACGGGGAGAGCAAAGGAGGCGCAGAGAUGGUGUUGCGGGAAACUGAGGACUAGACAGACUGAUAUGGGGGAGACAAAAGGAUGUUUAUUUAAGAUACGCACCGGCUCAGUGGAUUUACAUCUAAAAAGCUGAGCAUUUCAACAAAGACGGAGUGGGGUUUUUUGCUUUCAGAAGCAGAAUAAAAGCAGUUAAUCAUAUAAUGAUAGGUCAUGUAAUCUAUAGCAUAGCAUAACUUGUGUCCUUCCAUAGCUGGUGGCCUCGUAGCUGAGUUGAAAGAAAAACAAGAA
rnacentral:lncRNA from 1 species